AUUUAGUUAUAAAAAAUACAAAAAUUAAAUUAUUUUAAGGGGUUAGAAAUCUAAAUCAUUAAGCUAUUAGUAAAGAGAUCAGUCCAAUGCUAAGUACAAAAUGAGAAAUUAGAAAUUAAAGAAGCCAACCUUGAUGAGUUAUUAUAUGAACUCUUCGCAAAUCCAUUGUUUAUGAACAUGCCAAAUCUAGUGGAGAAGAAAAUUUUAUGUUACAGAUAAAAAAAGAUUGAGCCGUCCCGCCAAUAUCACCACCACCAACGCCGCCGUCAAAAGCCACCUACGUAACAGAAGAGGAGAAGGAAACCAAACCCCACUAGCAAAUAUGGAUUUUGGAAACCAGCCCAACUCACGAAAGAACCAGAAAAAACAGGCAAUUUCUCCACCACCAUUUUCUUGGAAAUUCUACCAUCAGGCUUCAUUAUAUGCCAAAACUUCCACCAGCAAAACCCUGUUACCCUGUGAACACAAAAUAUAAAAAGAAGAAGGGUUUUUUCAACUCCCAUUUUCAAGAUAAAUUAAAGGGGUUUCUUGGUUCAUCUUGAAGAUAUGAAAUGUGAGAAAACAAAGGCACUGUUUUGGGAUUAGAAACCAUUUUUGUAUUGUUCAAGAAAUUUUUUUAUUUUUUCCAAAGGAUUUGAUAGGUAUUGUUGUCCUAUUUCUUCAGUGGGAAAAGAAAGACUGAGGACAUGAGGCCUUUGCUUUGUGUUUGUAUAUGUUUAUUGGAUUACAUUGGUGACUGUCUCUCUCAACAUAAUAAGGCCAAGUAAAUAAGCAUGAAAAUAUGUGUUUGGCGUUUCGUACGCAUACAAACAAUAAAUACCUACACAUUGUAUAUGUCAUCCUCACCUCACACCACCCCACCCGUAAUCACUCCACCGAAGACCAUAAAUGGAUCGGAUAUGGAGUAGAUUGGAUCUGUUAAUAUCCGAUCCAAUAAGAA
rnacentral:lncRNA from 1 species